rnacentral:rRNA from 1 species
AUUGAACGCUGGCGGCAUGCCUUACACAUGCAAGUCGAACGGCAGCACGGGUGCUUGCACCUGGUGGCGAGUGGCGAACGGGUGAGUAAUACAUCGGAACAUGUCCUGUAGUGGGGGAUAGCCCGGCGAAAGCCGGAUUAAUACCGCAUACGAUCUACGGAGGAAAGCGGGGGACCUUCGGGCCUCGCGCUAUAGGGUUGGCCGAUGGCUGAUUAGCGAGUUGGUGGGGUAAAGGCCUACCAAGGCGACGAUCAGUAGCUGGUCUGAGAGGACGACCAGCCACACUGGGACUGAGACACGGCCCAGACUCCUACGGGAGGCAGCAGUGGGGAAUUUUGGACAAUGGGCGAAAGCCUGAUCCAGCAAUGCCGCGUGUGUGAAGAAGGCCUUCGGGUUGUAAAGCACUUUUGUCCGGAAAGAAAUCCUUGGCCCUAAUACGGUCGGGGGAUGACGGUACCGGAAGAAUAAGCACCGGCUAACUACGUG